rnacentral:rRNA from 1 species
AACGAGCGCUGGCGGCAUGCCUAACACAUGCAAGUCGAACGAGACCUUCGGGUCUAGUGGCGCACGGGUGCGUAACGCGUGGGAACCUGCCCUUAGGUUCGGAAUAACUCCCCGAAAGGGGUGCUAAUACCGGAUAAUGUCUUCGGACCAAAGAUUUAUCGCCUUUGGAUGGGCCCGCGUUGGAUUAGCUAGUUGGUAGGGUAAAAGCCUACCAAGGCGACGAUCCAUAGCUGGUCUGAGAGGAUGAUCAGCCACACUGGGACUGAGACACGGCCCAGACUCCUACGGGAGGCAGCGGUGGGGAAUAUUGGACAAUGGGCGAAAGCCUGAUCCAGCAAUGCCGCGUGAGUGAUGAAGGCCUUAGGGUUGUAAAGCUCUUUUACCCGGGAUGAUAAUGACAGUACCGGGAGAAUAAGCUCCGGCUAACUCCGU